rnacentral:rRNA from 1 species
UACGUAGGGUGCGAGCGUUGUCCGGAAUUACUGGGCGUAAAGAGCUCGUAGGUGGUUUGUCGCGUUGUUCGUGAAAUUCCCUGGCUUAACUGGGGGUGUGCGGGCGAUACGGGCAGACUGGAGUACUGCAGGGGAGACUGGAAUUCCUGGUGUAGCGGUGGAAUGCGCAGAUAUCAGGAGGAACACCGGUGGCGAAGGCGGGUCUCUGGGCAGUAACUGACGCUCAGGCGCGAAAGCUAGGGGAGCGAACUGG